rnacentral:rRNA from 1 species
AGUGAACGCUGGCGGUAGGCCUAACACAUGCAAGUCGAACGGCAGCACAGUAAGAGCUUGCUCUUACGGGUGGCGAGUGGCGGACGGGUGAGGAAUACAUCGGAAUCUACUUUUUCGUGGGGGAUAACGUAGGGAAACUUACGAUAAUACCGCAUACGACCUACGGGUGAAAGCAGGGGAUCUUCGGACCUUGCGCGAUUGAAUGAGCCGAUGUCGGAUUAGCUAGUUGGCGGGGUAAAGGCCCACCAAGGCGACGAUCCGUAGCUGGUCUGAGGGGAUGAUCGGCCACACUGGAACUGAGACACGGUCCAGACUCCUACGGGAGGCAGCAGUGGGGAAUAUUGGACAAUGGGCGCAAGCCUGAUCCAGCCAUACCGCGUGGGUGAAGAAGGCCUUCGGGUUGUAAAGCCCUUUUGUUGGGAAAGAAAAGCAGCAGGUUAAUACGCCGCUGUUCUGACGGUACCCAAAGAAUAAGCACCGGCUAACUUCGUG